rnacentral:SRP_RNA from 1 species
GCCAGGCAUGGUGGCGCAUGCCUGUAAUCCCAGCUGCUAGGGAGGCUGAGGCAGGGGAAUCGCUUGAACUCAGGAGGCAGAGGUGGCAGUGAGCCAAGAUCGCACCACUGCACUACAGCCUGGGCAACAAGAGCAAGACUCUGCCUCAA